GUUUGAUAAACGCAGCAUAUAUUGAAACAGCAGCGCUCAAUCGCUCACUCCCCAACGAACUUAUCCCUGCGACAAAGAACACGUCCGAAGUAAACUCCACAGAAACACAUAAUACGCCUGUAUUUUAUGUGCGGUACGUAGAGUCGCGUGCUAGACGGAAUUUAUUCCGGUCGUUUGCCGCGAAUAAGCGAUUGAGAUUAAGAGAGGAAGAGCGAGGGGCGGAGAAAGAGAGAAAGAGAGCGCUAGAUCUGAUUAAUAGCUUAAUCGUUUCGCGCUUCUUUCCUGCUUCGAGCGAGGCAUCGGCCAGCAGCAUCAGCAAACGGGAGCGAUAUAGCCUUAUAGCAGCAGCACACACUCGGGCGUCACCGUCAUGCCAUCCGGCCCGUGGUGUAACGCGUAUUCAUAUAUUUAUAUAUACACGUCGAGACUAAACUCUCGCGAUCUUUCUCUCGCACCUCCCACGGGCGAUCUCGAUCAUCGAUAGGUCGCUGUCUCCCUUGCUCGCUCUGAUAUACUCUGUCGCCUCGCGAUCUCGUCACGGUAGGUAUAUCACGCGCAGCUGAUACGUGUUAGUUAAUGUGUGUUCAGAGCUCCAGCUCGUUGCCGUUUCCUAUCGAUCGUACGUCACCGAGAGGCCCGAUCAACGACGACGAUAUAGAGCGAGCAACAUCCUUAAAAGGGGGGGGAGCUGUGUUAUAGCGAAAGUAUAAAUGAAUAUACGGCACAUCUCGAGGCUCCGCGAGGCGUGAUAUUAUUGAUAAGUUCGAUGAGAUACGGCAGCUGGCAGUCCGGAAAUACAUUAUCGUGGAUAUAGAGAUACCCGCGGAGUGCUGAUCUAACGAGCUGACUGCGAGAGUGAAUUCGGCUUUUCCGUUUCGAAAGUCGACGAUCCGCAAUGACUUAUUUGAAGUAAGGAACUUUUGUGUAUUUCGGGUUAAUAUCGCUCGAGUUAUGCUCCGAAAUGAUCUAUUAAUGAUCGCGUCGAUCGAUUACUUUCGAGCUAGGCAAGAACGUAUGUUUGUCGACGUCAAAUGGGGAGCGUAACAUCACAUUUUCUCCAAGAGAUCAUAUUUCUUAGUGCGAAAUAAUCGAGCCGUGUCGGCUAAAUACAAUAAUGUGAUGGAUGAAUGUCCCGGGGAUGAUUGAGGAAGGCCAUUUCCAUUGAGUUCUUUCGCGUUCUCCUUCCCUUUUCUCUGUCUCGUAAGUACGGAUGAGCCGAAUUGUAAAAUUCUGGAGAUUGUGACGGACGAAGAGGAAAUGGCAUAUUGGCAGGCUCUAUUUUU